rnacentral:rRNA from 1 species
UACGUAGGCAGCAAGCGUUGUUCGGAGUUACUGGGCGUAAAGAGUGCGUAGGUGGUGCCCUAAGUCUGUUGUGAAAUCUCCCGGCUUAACUGGGAGGGUGCGGUGGAAACUGGGGUGCUUGAGUGUGGGAGAGGUAAGGCGGAAUUCCUGGAUGUAGCGGUGGAAAUGACGUAGAUAUCAGGAGGAACACCGGUGGUGUAGACGGCUUACUGGACCACGACUGACACUGAGGCACGAAAGCGUGGGUAGCAAACAGGG